rnacentral:rRNA from 1 species
AGAGUUUGAUCCUGGCUCAGGACGAACGCUGGCGGCGUGCCUAACACAUGCAAGUCGAACGGGGUCCAUGAGGUACUUGUACUUCGGAAGAUCUAGUGGCGAACGGGUGAGUAACACGUGAGAAACCUGCCCCAGACUCUGGGAUAACACAAAGAAAUUUGUGCUAAUACCGGAUAUUCUCUUUCCCUCGCAUGGGGGGUUGAGGAAAGUUUUUCGGUUUGGGAGGGUCUCGCGGCCUAUCAGCUAGUUGGUGGGGUAAUGGCCUACCAAGGCAACGACGGGUAGCUGGUUUGAGAGAACGAUCAGCCACACUGGAACUGAGACACGGUCCAGACUCCUACGGGAGGCAGCAGUGGGGAAUCUUGCGCAAUGGGCGAAAGCCUGACGCAGCAACGCCGCGUGCGGGAUGAAGGCCUUCGGGUUGUAAACCGCUUUCAGCAGGGACGAAGAUGACGGUACCUGCAGAAGAAGCUCCGGCUAACUACGUGCCAGCAGCCGCGGUAAUA